GGCAGUGUGGUGUAGUGCUUUGUGAGUUGGGACUAUGACUCUGGAGACCAGGGUUCGAAUCCCUGCUCGGCCA